rnacentral:rRNA from 1 species
UACGUAGGUGACAAGCGUUGUCCGGAUUUACUGGGCGUAAAGAGCGCGCAGGCGGUCGAUCAAGUCGAGUGUGAAAGCCCCCGGCUCAACUGGGGAGGGUCAUUCGAUACUGAUCGACUCGAAGGCAGGAGAGGGUAGUGUAAUUCCCGGUGUAGUGGUGAAAUGCGUAGAUAUCGGGAGGAACACCAGUGGCGAAGGCGACUACCUGGCCUGUUCUUGACGCUGAGGCGCGAAAGCUAGGGGAGCAAACGGG